AUUCUUCUGAAGUGACCACUUUUCUUCUCUUUGAGGCACUACCUGGCAGCACCAUCUAAACCUGUAUCUGCUGUGGUCCCAGUUACUCAGGAGGCUGAGGCAGGAGGAUCACUUGAGCCCAGGAGGUUGAGGCUGGAGUGAGCCAUGACUGUACCACUGCACUCCAGCCUGGGUGACGGAGUGAGGCCGUAUCUGGCUGCCAGUGAGUUCUGUCAUGCAUCAGACUUUGGACCUCAGAAUUUUCACCUGGAACAUGAAAGGUGUGUGGUGUGCGCUAUAGACUGGCUCCGGUGAUCUGGCCAUUAUACUCUGCUGUCUCCAUCUUGAGGAUGUAGGGGAUUAUGCUGUCUAUCGAAACAUUGCCAAUGAGACCAGUAAAAAAAAGUUCUUCUGUUAUGUUGGAGCUCAUCAGCCUGAGUGCCGGCAGGCGAACAAGGAUCCGGGCCAAUCUAUAAAAGGAGUGUCAUUAGAAAAGGAGACUGUUUGAUGCCCUUCAACCACAGGUCAGCAAAGGCUCCUGGGGUCCUGUCUGUAUUGCACAGAAUCAAACCAAAUGGAUCCGGCAUCCACCCACCUCUCUUUUCUGAUUUCAACAGUUCCUCUUAUAGAAAUUUAUCAUGAGAAAAAACCAAAUGAGUACAAAAUGUAUGUACAGGUAUGUUCCCCUCACUCGUUUAUUCCAACUCUCCUCACCCCCACCAAGAGAAAACCUGGAAAUUCAUCAACAGAGGACAGGUUAAAAUAAAACAGGAGUCUUCAUAUGAUGAACUGCUAGAGACUCAUUUAAAAAACGAUAAUACAAAUCUGUAUUUACUGAUCAGG
rnacentral:sRNA from 1 species